rnacentral:lncRNA from 1 species
CACAGCAAUGUACAUUCUGGUGCAAACACCUUUUUCCUUCAUGGACAUCUAACCAAGAAUUUCCAGGCCAGUGUUGUCUGCAGGUUACAUUCUAAGAAGUACUUGUCUAUAGAGCUUCACUAAGAACAAUUGGUUUUGGUGGAAAGGUGUACCUUGGAAUGGAUUAGUGAGUGGUUGGGUUUUGGAAGAGAAUAACAAUCUGAGCCUGGCACUGAGCUAUGGCCUUCCCAUGCAACCAUACACAAAGGGCAUCCAAUCCCGCAACUGUCAUCCUGCUUGCUCCCAAGCUCUUGGGGGUUUGAACCAUCUUCCUGCAGGGUACACUGGUACACACAGGUUGUAGGACUUCUGUGCACUGUCACGCACAAGCGUGAACAGCCAGGCCUGCCCCUGGAAGGGAGGAGAGCCAGGGCAACCCAACCCACAGGGCCCCCGUGAUGGUUGUGCUGUUGACAUAUUUAUUUCAUAGGGCCCUUAGGAUAGUGCUAAACUUUUUCAAGUGAAUUUCAUUUAUUCUCAGAAAAGGGGAAAGAAGGAUUUUCAGGAUUUUGAACUGGAAAGUGACAUGAUCAUAUUUGCGCUGUAGAAGGAGCAAACCUCUCUGUGGAAAGUAGACGAGAGAAGGUGAGGCCGGAGGUGGGGAUUCUAGCAGGAAGGUCAGAACUGGACAGUAGCCUUCCCCCUCCCUCAUCCACACUCUUGCCACAGCCUCAUGGUGGGAGGAAUGUAAUCUCCUAGCCCUGGACUUUGAGCUUGGUCUCAGGACUUAUGUUGAUCAAUGGAAUGGGGCCGAAGUAACUGGAUACGGGUUCUGAGACUAGGCUUUUUUUUCUCUUUUUGGCCAUGCCUGCAGCAUGUGGAAAUUCCCCAGGGCCAGGAAUUGAACCUGAACCAUAGCAGUGACGAUGCCAAAUCUUUAACCAUUAGGCCACCAUGGAACUCUGAGACCGGACCCUAAGAAGCCUCACAUAUUUCUGCCUGCCCUGUUGUGCAUCUGCCAUCACCAAGAGAAGGAUGUGCCUGGCUGGCCCACUGAUGCUGGCAGAUGAGAGACAGGUAGAGCAGACCCACCCUUCCUGCUUGCAGACUCUCGAGCCAGCCCAGCUGAGGUCAGUAAACCUGCAGAGCUUUGAGAAAGAACUGCCUGUUAUUGUAGCCCACUGAGAUGUGUGGAUGUUUGUUAGGCAGCAUCGCUGCAGCACCAGCUAACUGAUACAGUGAAACUGGGAGGAAGUGAACAAAGCCAAGGAGUACAUAGGAAAGCAGAUGAAGCUGGUGGUCAGCUGGGCUUGUGGGUGAGACUCUUGGAGGGCUUGGGCCUCAGGUUUCCCGGUGAUUGAGAUGUAGUGCCUGGGAUGAGGAGCCCAGGGAAGAAGGACAGGAAGUGACCUCCCACUAAUAUAACUUAUGUCAGUAUCUCCCUCUCCUUGCCCCUGACCCUCUCCUUCUCUUUGCUUUGAGACGAAACCAAGGCUUGUAUUUGCCAGGAUACACCCCCCCAGGGGCCAAACCACUGAGCGGGAUUAUGUGCAGCCCUGCCAUCCUCAGUGACCCACUGGCCUCCGUCUCUGUCAGAAUAUCUCCUUUACAGACUGAUUUGGACAAGUCCUGAUUUGGAUAAGGUGGUGGGUGAGACUUCCUACCCAGGGAACCACUCAAGAGAGAGGCCCUGAGAUUUCCCAGGGCUUCCUGCAGAAACGGCCACCUAUUAUUAUUACUUUCAUUUACUUAAAAUACCUGCCUUUGCAGCAGCGAAACCGCCCAAAAUAUUCACUUCUUUAUUUCCAGCUAGACAAGCUGAACUCAAUUUGCAUUGGAUAAUUAUUUUCAAUUAAGUGAUAACAAUCCUGUUUUGUACAAAAAUAAUCUUGUCCAAAGGCCAAACAGUUUAUCCCAUCCAAGAAACAAGGAGGCAGUGACAGAGGGAGGCCUGUCAGCGUGCUCUCUGUGCAGUGGAGGGAUGCCCAGCCGAGUCCCUUGUGGUGCACCUCUGACCCUGUGGGCGAAGUAGAACCAUUGGUCUGGUCUGCCCUCGGAGCCCCUGCACUGCAGCCGCUUUUUUCUUCUUUGAACUAAUAAGGAAACACCUCCUAACAAUGGCCAAGUGCUAGAAAAGGCAGCUGAGGCAGAGGAGCCCAGAACAGAGCCAGGAGACCUGGGUUCCCGACUUACUGUGUGGCCCCAGGCAAGUCAUCCCUGCUCUGGGCCUCAGAAUCCUCUGUAUGGGGAACAUUGAGGUUAGAUAUACGGGACUGCUCCAGCUCAGACGGUCUGCGAUUCUGUCCCAAUUACCCAGAGCAGCCUAAGUCUAGAGAAGCCAGGUUUUCUAUAGAGGAACCAGCUCAGCAGCCAAGUCCCACUUCCUGGCUCUUCUGUGUGCUGCUGAGGUGGAGAUUCAUCUCUACCAGGCUGAGGGAGAAGGGAGUGAGUUCUGAAGCCUCAUUCAGGAGGAGCUUGUUCAAUCCUGCUUAUGUGUCCAGGAGUAGAUGGCUCCAGCCAGGGGCUUUGGGAGCUGGAGCACUGAAUGCCAAAACGUCACAGAGAUGGGAAACAUCCUAAGGUGUCAUCGUUGGUCAUGUGCUCCCACACCUGUAGCAACAGAGCACUCACUUCCUCCCCAGGAGGCCCUUUGCCACAGCAGCCCUUGUGGGAAACCUGUCUGCAGGCCCUCCCACCCUCCCAGGACUCAUGUGCCCUGAGCAGUCUGUCCAGUCUACCCACCCUGACGACCUCAGCCAGUGCCCAGUCAGGCCUUGAUACAGGUUUAUAGAAGCCAUGACGCUGUUCACUUAGCUGUAUAGGCUGCACACCCAGCCAGACCCAUCUGCCACCACACCCACUAGAGAGCAUGAUGGUCAGUGUGUGCAGGUUAUUUCAAGUCCAUUUUCACACUCAUUGCUCUGUGGUGUAUCUUGUACAGCUCUUCUUAGAGCCACAUGCUUCUCAUCACUUUAUGGCGAUGUCAUAAAACUUCCCUUUACAGCUGUCGCUUCUGUUUCGAAUCUGGGUAAAGCUCCUCCCCAUCGAUUCAGCUGCUGGGAACAUCUCCCACUGAGGUCUUUUCCUUCUUCCUGAGGCUACAUUUUCAUUACAAGUCUAAAGGUAGAUGCAUUUAUAGUUGCGUGCUGAGAAAGACUCUUAUUUAAGUUUAUACAUUUCUUAUCGAACUUGAACUUGAUUAGAUUUAUCAAGAACAAUAAAACACACAGCCCAGAAACCUCUUCCCCAAACUGAGGUGGUUCGGCUGAGCUCCAGCUCUGUGCAGAUGGUGGCAGAGCCCCAGGGCCCCCGCUGGCCUCCUGACCCCCCUCCCCAGGGGACCUCAGGGAGGCCUGGGGACAAUUUGGGAGAAAUAUGAGGAAGCCACGACAGCACGUGCAAGGCUGACUAUUUUUAAACAACCCACUCAGCCCUUAAAAAAGAUUCAUGUUUGCAUGGGGCAGGGAGAGAGAGGGGAAAAUGUUUUUGAUAUAUUAACUGAUGUAAAUUAUUUAUUCUAUAAAUAUUAGUUUGUGUGGAAAGAUUUGUUUAUGCAGGAAGAUGUUUAUAAAUAUUUGUUUAUAUGGAAAUAGUAUAUAUUUCAUAAUUGAAAAUGAAAAUGAAAAUGCAUAUGAUCCCAUAAUUGGGUGAAAAAAGGAAAACCCCCCUCCUGCCCACCCUCCACAUAGAAAUGAGGCUUCAGGUGGUUCAAACAAAGAACUGAUCUGAAUUCCGAUGCCCAGUACCUCAAAUAUUUGAUGCUUCAGGAAAGGUUGAUACAAGAAACCAAGGAGGAAAAAAAACCCAAGAUUGUUUUCUGUGAUUCAAAAAUCUAAGCUCUAGGUAUAUGAAAUUCCCCACCCAUUCAAAAAACUGAGGCCUUUGGGCAUGAGCUUUAUGCCAUCAGCAGUAGAUCUAAAGGAUACUGAUCAGUAAAGCCAGCUUUUCCUACCCCUGCUCUCCCCUAAGUUUGUGUAAAUCUCCCCCAGGCUGGAGGAGGAAGAGGAAUGAAAGGGAAGGGCCGAAGUGUGAUGCUGCUGGGGCUGCCGAGAAGGGGCCAAGUCCUUGAGAGGCACAGUAAUAGCCCCCCAUGAGCUGAGGGGUCUGAGAGCAGAGAGGCCUGCAGCCUUGGUGCCCCACUGGAUGGAGGCAACAGUGGGUUGAGACAGCUGCUCGGGAUGUUUGGGCAGACUCACUGGGACAGCCUUAGAAGCUGAGCCAGGGGCCCCAAGGUUCCCAGUGUGACCGGGAGGGCGCCAGGCUCUCUGCCAGCCGCCCCCUCACCCAGCCUUGCUGGUCCUCUGCUUUUCCAGCCUUGGCCAGUGCUCCUCAGAGCUCAGACAGUCCUGCCAUUGGUUGGCCAGGUUGGGAAAGGCAGCAGGGCUCUGUGCUGGGGGCUCCCGUGUAUUCCCUGGUGUGCGGCUCUCCUACAGCCGUAGUCGCUUACAGAUAAGGAAACCGAGGCUCAGAGUGGUUAUGUGGUUUGCUCAGGUCACAGAGUGCAUUCAGACCAUGGUCUGGGAGUUCCCGUUGUGGCUCAGUGGCUAACGAACCUGACUAGUAUUCAUGAAGACACAGGUUCAAUCCCUGGCCUUGCUCAGUGGGUUAAGGAUCUGGCGUUGCCAUGAGCUGUGGCGUAGGUCGCAGGUGUGGCUCGGAUCCCAUGUUGCUGUGGCUGUGGUAUAGGCCGGUGGUUACAGCUCCGAUUAAACCCCUAGCCUGGCAACCUCCCUAUGCCACG